rnacentral:rRNA from 1 species
CGGGUGAGUAAUGCGUGACCAACCUGCCCCAUGCUCCAGAAUAGCUCUUGGAAACGGGUGGUAAUGCUGGAUGCUCCAACUUGACGCAUGUCUUGUUGGGAAAGUGUUUAGUGGCAUGGGAUGGGGUCGCGUCCUAUCAGCUUGUAGGCGGGGUAAUGGCCCACCUAGGCUUCGACGGGUAGCCGGCCUGAGAGGGCGGACGGCCACAUUGGGACUGAGAUACGGCCCAGACUCUACGGGAGGCAGCAGCA